rnacentral:rRNA from 1 species
AUUGAACGCUGGCGGCAUGCCUUACACAUGCAAGUCGAACGGUAACAGGUCUUCGGAUGCUGACGAGUGGCGAACGGGUGAGUAAUACAUCGGAACGUGCCUAGUAGUGGGGGAUAACUACUCGAAAGAGUGGCUAAUACCGCAUGAGAUCUACGGAUGAAAGCAGGGGAUCGCAAGACCUUGUGCUACUAGAGCGGCCGAUGGCAGAUUAGGUAGUUGGUGGGAUAAAAGCUUACCAAGCCGACGAUCUGUAGCUGUCUGAGAGGACGAUCAGCCACACUGGGACUGAGACACGGCCCAGACUCCUACGGGAGGCAGCAGUGGGGAAUUUUGGACAAUGGGCGCAAGCCUGAUUCAGCAAUGCCACGUGCAGGAUGAAGGCCUUCGGGUUGUAAACUGCUUUUGUACGGAACGAAAAGCCCUGGGUUAAUACCCUGGGGUCAUGACGGUACCGUAAGAAUAAGCACCGGCUAACUACGUGCCAGCAGCCGCGGUAA